CAAUGAAGGAGCUUAUAAAGCUUCAGAGUAUACUUAUUCACUCGGAUAUUAAGUCUCUUUCAGAAAGGAGUAAUAGUGAGGCACUGUGACUUCCAUUUUAAAGACCAUGUGGCAAGGUGAUGGGAGAGAGUGUUUCUGACAUUCGGAGGAAAGCUGACUGCUGCUUUUAUUUAUCUAUAGGAGAGGUGGGUGACACCGUUUUCAGAAAAUACCAUACAGAUCUCGUUUCUUUCCAUGAUGGUCUCGAACACAGGAGUUUGGAGCUGCAGUGUUGAGAAUUGUCACAGGCAGCCAGUGGAAACCUGAACUUCUUGCCACUAAGAGAUUUUUAAAAUGAAAGCUGUAGAGUAAAAUGGUGAACAGACUUUACGCAUAUUUGCAUAAAUACAUGGAUAUUUGUCAUUUUCCUGAAAUGUACCUCAGGAAAAGUGAAGUCUAAUUCUUCCUUUUCGCAUAAAUGUCUGAAUUUUGACUUGCUCUUCUUGAGAUUCUCUUUUUUUAAUCUCAUAACUGUGUAAAGCAUUCAAAGAAAGCGUAAGGAUAUUUUUACUCAAAUAGCAUCUUAAAACGUGAAUACUCUGUUGUCUUUGUGAAGCUAUGUUAUAUGAACAGUGAUGUUGUUGGUCAGAUUUUUAAGUACUUACUCAAUUUUCACUUGGUCCUUCUUCAUUUAAACAUCCUUUCUAUUAAACAAGACUUUUUACCUGUCUAGAUGCAUGAAAGAAUAAAAAGUCCAUGAUCUGGUUUAUAAAUAAAUAU
rnacentral:lncRNA from 1 species